UACGUAGGGGGCUAGCGUUGUCCGGAAUCAUUGGGCGUAAAGAGCGUGUAGGCGGCCCGGUAAGUCCGCUGUGAAAGUCGGGGGCUCAACCCUCGAAUGCCGGUGGAUACUGUCGGGCUAGAGUGCGGAAGAGGCGAGUGGAAUUCCUGGUGUAGCGGUGAAAUGCGCAGGAUAUCAGGAGGAACACCAAUUGCGAAGGCAGCUCGCUGGGACGUAACUGACGCUGGAGACGCGAAAGCGUGGGAGCAAACAGG
rnacentral:rRNA from 1 species